UGAAGGUGCUGGGCUUGAAGUACAUGAUGAAAACCUGCGGGGACGACAGAGAGUCAAACUGCAGCAGCAGCAGUGUGGACGACAGUUUUUGUAGCAUCCGUGACCAUCCUCCACACGUGUGCACACCAGACAACGAGCCCUCCGGCAGGUGACUGUUUGUAGAUGAAAUGGAAACCCCAUCACAGCUGACCCCUCGCUGAGAUGAGAUGAGAUGAGAGAGUGACCUCUGACCUUUCGUCUGGGACAUUCGGCUCUCAGAACUACAGUCUGAACAUUUCCAUGGACGUUCACCAUUUUUGAUGCUU